AGGACGAACGCUGGCGGCGUGCUUAACACAUGCAAGUCGAGCGGAAAGGCCCUUCGGGGUACUCGAGCGGCGAACGGGUGAGUAACACGUGGGCAACCUGCCCCUAGCUCUGGGAUAACUCCGGGAAACCGGGGCUAAUACCGGAUACGAUCUUCCACGGCAUCUCGGAAGAUGGAAAGUUUUUUCGGCUAGGGAUGGGCCCGCGGCCUAUCAGCUUGUUGGUGAGGUAACGGCCCACCAAGGCGACGACGGGUAGCCGGCCUGAGAGGGCGACCGGGCCAACGACUGGGACUGAGACACGGCCCAGACUCCACGGGAGGCAGCAGUGGGGAAUAUUGCGCAAUGGGCGAAAGCCUGACGCAGCGAGCCGCGGUGAGGGAUGAAGGCCUUCGGGUUGUAAACCUCGUUCAGCAGGGACGAAGCGAGAGUGACGGUACCUGCAGAAGAGCACGGCCAACACGUGCCAGCAGCCGC
rnacentral:rRNA from 1 species